rnacentral:rRNA from 1 species
CAGCGGGGAGGAAGGCGUUAAGGUUAAUAACCUUGUCGAUUGACGUUACCCGCAGAAGAAGCACCGGCUAACUCCGUGCCAGCAGCCGCGGUAAUACGGAGGGUGCAAGCGUUAAUCGGAAUUACUGGGCGUAAAGCGCACGCAGGCGGUCUGUCAAGUCGGAUGUGAAAUCCCCGGGCUCAACCUGGGAACUGCAUUCGAAACUGGCAGGCUAGAGUCUUGUAGAGGGGGGUAGAAUUCCAGGUGUAGCGGUGAAAUGCGUAGAGAUCUGGAGGAAUACCGGUGGCGAAGGCGGCCCCCUGGACAAAGACUGACGCUCAGGUGCGAAA